CACAUCACAUUGAAACACCAAUUCCCAUAUGAUCACUGAAGUUAAGCAAAAUAAAGCCUGGUCAGAACCUAGAUGGGUGACUGCUUGGGAAUACCAGGUACUGUAAG